rnacentral:sRNA from 1 species
GCUGGGUGUAGUAGCACACACCUGUAAUCCCAGCGGCUUGGGAGGCUGAGAAAGGAGGAUCGCAAGUUUAAAGCCAGCCUCAGCAACAGUGAGGCACUAAGCAACUUAGUGAGACUCUGUCUCUA